UGUCAAGGGAUGGGAAUCGAACCCAGAAACUUCCGCUUACCGGGCAGAUGCCAUGACCCCUAGGCUAUCCUGGAC
rnacentral:tRNA from 1 species